rnacentral:rRNA from 1 species
UACGUAGGGGACGAGCGUUGUCCGGAAUUACUGGGCGUAAAGGGCGCGCAGGCUGUAGAUCAAGUCAGCUGUGAAAUGUCUGGGCUUAACCCGGGCAUGCGGUUGAAACUGAUGUACUGGAGUGCUGUAGAGGAAAGUGGAAUUCCCAGUGUAGCGGUGAAAUGCGUAGAAAUCAGGAGGAACACCGGUGGCGAAGGCGACUUUCUGGACUGACCCUGACGCUGAGGUGCGAAAGACGUGGGUAGGCAAACAGGAUUAGAUACCCCCGUACGU